UGAAAUUGAACUCGCUGUGAAGAUGCAGUGUACCCGCGGCAAGACGGAAAGACCCCGUGAACCUUUACUAUAGCUUGACACUGAACAUUGAGCCUUGAUGUGUAGGAUAGGUGGGAGGCUUUGAAGUGUGGACGCCAGUCUGCAUGGAGCCGACCUUGAAAUACCACCCUUUAAUGUUUGAUGUUCUAACGUGGACCCGUUACCCGGGUUGCGGACAGUGUCUGGUGGGUAGUUUGACUGGGGCGGUCUCCUCCUAAAGAGUAACGGAGGAGCACGAAGGUUGGCUAAUCCUGGUCGGACAUCAGGAGGUUAGUGCAAUGGCAUAAGCCAGCUUGACUGCGAGCGUGACGGCGCGAGCAGGUGCGAAAGCAGGUCAUAGUGAUCCGGUGGUUCUGAAUGGAAGGGCCAUCGCUCAACGGAUAAAAGGUACUCCGGGGAUAACAGGCUGAUACCGCCCAAGAGUUCAUAUCGACGGCGGUGUUUGGCACCUCGAUGUCGGCUCAUCACAUCCUGGGGCUGAAGUAGGUCCCAAGGGUAUGGCUGUUCGCCAUUUAAAGUGGUACGCGAGCUGGGUUUAGAACGUCGUGAGACAGUUCGGUCCCUAUCUGCCGUGGGCGCUGGAGAACUGAGGGGGGCUGCUCCUAGUACGAGAGGACCGGAGUGGACGCAUCACUGGUGUUCGGGUUGUCAUGCCAAUGGCACUGCCCGGUAGCUAAAUGCGGAAGAGAUAAGUGCUGAAAGCAUCUAAGCACGAAACUUGCCCCGA
rnacentral:rRNA from 2 species